AGUCUCCUCGCACACACACUCCCAUCAGUAAGAUUCUAUCUCACCUUGUCCUCAGAUGUCAGGUAAAAUGCGAGGUGAGCGGCGCUGCCAAUCAGACCCGUAAACAGACACACGUCUCAAAAGAUGUUUUUAGACUUGCGUACGAGUGGCAGGCUUCGUACAAACAGUUCCCCCCUCCCGCCUGUGCGCCGUAUCGACUUCCCAAACGAAAGGGCGUUGCGUUUACUGCACAUCAAACGGAGCGGAAAAUGAGGUUGCGGCGCAGACGUUCAAACCUUGGCGCUCACUUCGAGGGGCUGAAAUUCAGAGCGAUCGCUAUCUGCGCUGCAGGAGACGCCGCCGCUGCUCGCUAUCAGCACUCCCCAUCGAGCAAACAUCCUCUGGAGAUUAGGAGGCGCUCGACGUCGCCGCCGGCGGAGUGCAAUGAAAGCCAUGAACGCAGCACGAGAAAACCAAGCGCCGCUGAUGAGGACAGACGGCAUAAAGACCAGCGAACUCGAAGAUCCAGUGCCGGAACAUAGUUCACUCCACGUAUAUUCCGUCCGUCUCCAUUGAUCGAGCUGUGCGCCUCGCUUCUCUGGACUUCCCGCCGGACUUUGGACUGCUUCCCUCAAUCCUCGACCCCCGCUCGGACACGGACCUCGACGCCUCUCUCUAGUCCCCGACCCCUCGCUUGCCCACGGACUGUCUUCUUGCCUUGCCCCUCUGGACUUAUGAACGAUUCAUCCAACACGCACAAACAACACCCUCUGGUAACAUUUACAGUGGUAAUUCUUCACAUCGUCUUGCACCAUACACUAUUAGUAGCAUACACAC